rnacentral:rRNA from 1 species
CAAUAGCGUAUAUUAAAGUUGUUGCAGUUAAAAAGCUCGUAGUUGGAUUUCUGGUUGAAGCGACCGGUCGGGCGUUGAUUCGUCUGCACUGGAGUCGGUUUUGGCCAUCCUCUAGGAAAGUGCGUCUGGUAUUAAGUUAUCGGGCGUAUGAUCCUGGUCUUUUACUGUGAAAAAAUUAGAGUGUUUAAAGCAGGCCUUCGCCUUGAAUACAUUAGCAUGGAAUAAUAAGAUAGGACUUUGGUCUAUUUUGUUGGUUUGCAGACCGAAGUAAUGAUUAAUAGGGAGAGUUGGGGGUAUUUAUAUUCCGAUGUCAGAGGUGAAAUUCUUAGAUUUUCGGAAGAUAAACUUAUGCGAAAGCAUUUACCAAGGAUGUUUUCAUUAA